CCUACGGGAGGCAGCAGUGGGGAAUAUUGGACAAUGGGGGCAACCCUGAUCCAGCAAUGCCGCGUGAGUGAUGAAGGCCUUCGGGUUGUAAAGCUCUUUCGCCCACGACGAUGGUGACGGUAGUGGGAGAAGAAGCCCCGGCUAACUUCGUGCCAGCAGCCGCGGUAAU
rnacentral:rRNA from 1 species